rnacentral:rRNA from 1 species
UUAAAAGCUUCGGCGUUUGGGACUGGCCUGCGUACGAUUAGAUAGUUGGUGAGGUAACGGCUCACCAAGUCGACGAUCGUUAGAUGGUUUGAGAGGAUGAUCAUCCAGACUGGAACUGAGACACGGUCCAGACUCCUACGGGAGGCAGCAGUAGGGAAUCUUUCACAAUGGGCGAAAGCCUGAUGGAGCAACGCCGCGUGCAGGAUGAAGGCCUUCGGGUUGUAAACUGCUUUUAUAUCCGAGAAAUAUGAUGGUAAGAUAUGAAUAAGGAUCGGCUAACUACGUGCC